AGACAGAGAGAGACAGAGCAUGAAUGGGGGAGGGUCAGAGAGAGAGGGAGACACAGAAUCUGAAACAGGCUCCAGGCUCUGAGCCAUCAGCACAGAGCCUGAUGCGGGGCUUGAACUCACGAACCGUUGAGAUCAUGACCUGAGCCGAAGUCGGACGCUUAACCGACUGAGCCACCCAGGCGCCCCUAAGGGAAAAUUUUUUAAGAUGAAAGACACUAUGUCUGUAUGCUGAUGAGAAUGAUCUGGUAGAGACGAGGAAAUUAAUGAUGUGGAAGAGAAAAAGGGUGUUUACAGGAAUCGUGUCCUAGAGCAAAGAAGGAGGGAUAGAACUGAGUAUAUAAAUGGGAGGUUGGCCUUAACCCUGGCAAAGGGACAGUAGGCAGAAACAUGGGUUCCACUGCAAGAGGGUUGAUAAAUCCGGGUAAGACAAUAAGAAAGGUCUCUUCUCAUUGACUGUUUUCUCAGUGAAAGAAGAAGCCAGGUUGUCCACAGAAAGCAUGACACCUUGAGAAGAGAGCAGAAGGUGUGAGUGUAGCUGGACUGUCAGGCUGUGCUGAGGGCCAACUUCAUGUUAAGGUCAUAAAUUCAAAGUGUUAUGGUUGUGUUUUUCUCCAGCCACAUGCAAUUACUUGGGUAGAAGCUCAGGUUAGGCAGAAAAGUAGAUAUAAUUUGGGGAUUGUAAGUAGCAACAAAUAACACUCAUUGUCACCUCCUGUGUUCAGAGCCAACUGAAAGAUAGAUACAAAAGAGCAGCCUUCAUUAUUCUAAAAUGGAUAGGAGAAUGUAGCUUUAGGUAUUCAGACAAGUGAGUUGGUAAAUUCUCUACCCCAGACUCAUUUUGUUGCUGGCAAGUUCCUUCCCUUAUUGUAGAACAGGGAGAAAGAUUUUUUUUUAAUUUUUUUAAUCUUUAUUUAUUUUUGACAAAGGCAGAGAGACAGAGAGGGGAGGGACACAGAGAGAGGGAGGCAUAGAAUCUGAAGCAGGCUCCAGGCUCUGAGCUGUCAGCACAGAGCCCAACACGGGGCUCGAACUCACAAGCUGUGGGAUCAUGACCUGAGCCGAAGUCAGACGCCCAACCAACUGAGCCACCCAGGCGCCCUCCCCCUUUUUAUUUUUAAUUUUGUUUUAAUCUUUAUUUUUGAGAGAGAGAGAGUACAAGUAGGGGAGGAACAGAGAGAGAGAGGGUGACAUUGAAUCCGAACGAGGCUUCAGGCUCUGUGCACAGAGCCUGAUGUGGGGCUUGAACUCACGAACCACAAGUUCAUGACCUGAGCUGAAGUCAGACACUCAACCACUCAACCGACUGAGCCACCCAGGCACCCCGAACAGGGAGGAAGUUUUGAAGAGAGGGGAGAGGAAAGGUCUGAGCCAGGUAUGCCCCCUCCCAUCAGAUAACUCAUUCCACCUUUAGCAAGAGAAGGAAUUGAGGGAUGAGGAAAGUGGCUAACAGUCAGGCUACCCCAGGGAUUCGCAGCUCUGCCUGCACAUUGAAUCACCUGGGGAUAUUAAAAGAAAUCAAUGCCUGCGUACAAUUCCCAGAGAGUUCAAUUUAACUGGUCUGGGGUGCCAUCUAGACAUCUGAACUUUUUAAAGUUCCCCUAAGAGAUUUUGUUUUUGAGAGAGAGUGCAAGAGGAGAGGGACAGAGAGAGCGGGGGCUCCACACUAACAGCAGUAAGCCUGAUGUAGGGACCAAACUCCUGAAUCCCAAGAUCAUGACCUGAGCCGAAGUCGAAGGCUCAAACUGACUGAGCCACUCAGGAGCCCCUCCCUUAAGUGAUUUUAAUGUGAGGCCAACAUUUUUCCUUAACAAUAAAUAUAGUUGGAAUUGCCAGAUUUACGUGACAGAAGCAGAACGUGACAAAGGCAUCAAGAAUGGGUUUUUUAAAGUCAUUACUUGGAUGCACUGUGGGAAUUUAAAUUUUUUUAAUGUUUAUUAUUUAUUUUAGAGAGAGAGAGAGUGCAAACAGGGGAGGGGCAGAGAAAGAGGGAGACACAAAAUCUGAAGCAGGCUCCAGGCUUUGAGCUGUCACCACAGAGCCCGAUGCAGGGCUUGAACUUGCAAACUGUGAGAUCAUGACCUGAGCCAAAGUUGGUGGCUUAAAUGAUUGAGCCACCCAGGUGCCCCAAUGCACCACAGGAAUUUAAAGAGUCAAGUGAGAACAUGAGGGGAUUGGUUACACAACAAUAGUAGGGGUCAAUGGAUUAUGUGGAUGUCCCUGAAGGCUUGCAGAAUUGUUGGAGUUGAGCUACUGAGAAAGGCAGUUAGAAUAGUAGAUAAAGAUCAGAGAAUCAAAUGGUUAAGUUGAGAUUCCAACUGGGCUGUUAUCAAAAUUUUAAGUUCUAGGCUAUGACUGAUCAUGGGAGUCAUGAGUAUCAUAGUCAUAGGGACUAAGGCUGGGUGUAGAGCAAAAUCACUGGAGAUAAAGAGGCUGUGGCAAGAGAGAUCAGUGUGCUAAGUGAAUCAUCGAUGUGGAUUUUGAAAUGACCAGUGGUGACUGGAGUGAUAGUGGCCAUCACAACCUGGAAGAGACUAAGGCAUGCAGGUCCCUGGUUCUCAGGGACCAUGAGAUUCACUAGGAUCCUGGGCAAGUGGUCAUCUGUUUUGAAACUGCUUUCUUUUUCUUCUAAAAGACAGCCAACUCCAUCUAUGGUAGAUAUGAGGGAGAGAGGAUGAAAAGCAGGGAAAGAUGAUUGCAAAUGCUGUCUUUAGGUAUAUAGAGAAAAA